GGAGAGCUGGCCGAGUGGUCGAAGGCGGUUGACUUGAAAUCAAUUGUGGGGCAACUCACCGCGGGUUCGAAUCCUGCGCUCUCCGCCA
rnacentral:tRNA from 1 species